rnacentral:rRNA from 1 species
AGUGAACGCUGGCGGUAGGCCUAACACAUGCAAGUCGAACGGCAGCACAGGAGAGCUUGCUCUCUGGGUGGCGAGUGGCGGACGGGUGAGGAAUACAUCGGAAUUUACUUUUUCGUGGGGGAUAACGUAGGGAAACUUACGCUAAUACCGCAUACGACCUACGGGUGAAAGCAGGGGACCUUCGGGCCUUGCGCGAUUGAAUGAGCCGAUGUCGGAUUAGCUAGUUGGCGGGGUAAAGGCCCACCAAGGCGACGAUCCGUAGCUGGUCUGAGAGGAUGAUCAGCCACACUGGAACUGAGACACGGUCCAGACUCCUACGGGAGGCAGCAGUGGGGAAUAUUGGACAAUGGGCGCAAGCCUGAUUCAGCCAUACCGCGUGGGUGAAGAAGGCCUUCGGGUUGUAAAGCCCUUUUGUUGGGAAAGAAAUCCAGCUGGCUAAUACCCGGUUGGGAUGACGGUACCCAAAGAAUAAGCACCGGCUAACUUCGUGCCAGCCGCCGCGGUAA